GGAAGGAUCAUUACCGAAUGAACUGCACCUUCUUGUAGCAGAACCAUUGCCCAUGGCCGGAUGAUCAGAUCUGACAAACAUCAACGGACGCUUUGGUUUGGGACCAUUUUGGCCAUGCUGGAUGUUGGAUGUACGGUCUCUGGGCUGGGCCCUUUGGUCUGCUACGCUUAUCAAACCCGUCAUUGUAUGUGUGGUGGGGUGGCAUCCACCUUUUGUUGGGUUGCCCCUCAAGUAUGUAAACAUGAAUAUAACUUUCAACAACGGAUCUCUUGGCUCUCGCAUCGAUGAAGAACGCAGCGAAAUGCGAUAAGUAAUGUGAAUUGCAGAAUUCAGUGAAUCAUCGAAUCUUUGAAUGCACCUUGCGCUCCUUGGCAUUCCGAGGAGCAUGCCUGUUUGAGUGUCGUUGAAUUCUCAGAACCUUCUGGUUCGGAUUGGUGGAGGAUGCAUUGCUUUGCCUUGCCUUGCUUUGCUUCUCUGAAAUGGAUUGGCCUGCGGCUGUGAUUCACGAGCCUUGUCGGUAGGAUGAUAAUUAAUGUCUUGCCUGCUUCCAACGUGUGCCAGCCCAGGCGAGAGGUGGACGCCUGUAUCUAUCUACUACAAUUUGACCUCAAAUCAGGCAGGACUACCCGCUGAACUUAAGCAUAUCAAUAAGCGGAGGAAAAGAAACUAACCAGGAUUCCCCUAGUAACUGCGAGUGAAGCGGGAAGAGCUCAAAUUUAAAAUCUGGCGGUCGCUUGGCCAUCCGAGUUGUAAGCUAGAGAAGUGCCAUCCGCGCUGGGGCCAUGUACAAGUCUCCUGGAACGGAGCGUCAUAGAGGGUGAGAAUCCCGUCUCUGACAUGGACCUCCCGGGGCAUCGCGAUGGCGCUCUCAAGGAGUCGAGUUGUUUGGGAAUGCAGCUCCAAAUGGGUGGUAAAUUCCAUCUAAAGCUAAACAUUGGCGAGAGACCGAUAGCGAACAAGUACCGUGAGGGAAAGAUGAAAAGAACUUUGGAAAGAGAGUUAAACAGUACGUGAAAUUGUUGAAAGGGAAACGCUUGAAGUCAGUCGCGUCGGCUUGGGAUCAGCCUUGCAACCCGCGAGGUGCACUCCCUGGUCGACGGGUCAGCACCAGUUUCGACCGUUGGAGAAAGGUCGGGGGAAUGUGGCAUCCUCGGAUGUGUUUAUAGCCCUCGAUCGCAUGCAUCGGUUGGGAUUGAGGAACUCAGCGCGCCGCAAGGCCGGGUUUUUCAAACCACGUCCGCGCUCAGGGUGCUGGCACAAUGGCUUUAAUCGACCCGUCUUGAAACACGGACCAAGGAGUCUAACAUGCCUGCGAGUGUUUGGGUGGAAAACCCAUGCGCGCAAUGAAAGUGAAAGGUUGAGAUCUCUGUCGUGGAGAGCAUCGACGCCCGGACCAGACCUCCUGUGACGGAUCCGCGGUGGAGCAUGCAUGUUGGGACCCGAAAGAUGGUGAACUAUGCCUGAAUAGGGUGAAGCCAGAGGAAACUCUGGUGGAGGCUCGUAGCGAUUCUGACGUGCAAAUCGAUCGUCGAAUUUGGGUAUAGGGGCGAAAGACUAAUCGAACCAUCUAGUAGCUGGUUCCUGC
rnacentral:misc_RNA from 1 species